UAGCAAACAAGCUGCCCAUUUGAUUCCAGAUGUUUCUUCCCCCCAUUCCUUCCUAAACUUCCUUUUUUAAAAAAACAAAAGCUAUGGGACCUCCCAGGAGCAAAUGACAGCAUGGAUUUCUCUUUCUCCUGAAAACCAGGACAUUGAGUUUAUGAGACUUCCUCCGUCCUCAAGAAGGCAGCCCCCUGGAAUUCUGAAUGAAGAUGGCUCUAGGAAUUUUUGGUAUUGUUCUCAUUAUUGGUCAUACAUUAUCUGUGCUGUAUUAAUGUGAAAACCAGGCAAGAUAAAGGAAGAUUGGAAAGCAAGAGGAUCAUUUACAAGUGUCAAACCACCUUACUGCCUUUUUUUUUAAGUUUCAUCAUCUUUUUCUAUCUUCCUUGUUCCUUCCGCUUGUUAGCAGUACAGUUUCUAUAGCAACACCUAUUGGUUGUAGUAACAAUGAAAGCCCCAGCAAGCUCUCCUGCAGUGAAAUCCUCGAUGCUGACAAGAUCAACUCAUAUUUUCUUUGUCCAGUGUUUUCUAUUACUUCCCAGAAUGACCCUUUUACCAGGAUAGAAAAGAUUCCCACUAAUUAUUUCUGAAAUAAGCAGCUGAAGUCAGGCAAGCCAGCAAAUAGAUGUUAUUGAACAGUGGUGAUGGGGAGAGACUACCUUAGAAAUAACCCGAUUUCAUAAGCAAUAAAUUCCACCAUCUUGUACUGUUAACAUAGAAUAGAAUGAAGGUCAGCCUACUUCUUCUACUCUGAAUCAGCUUGCUUUAUUUAGAAAACACUUUUAUGUACCGGGUACUCUAACACACUACCCAAAUGCCAAUAAUAUUUUAAAGUAUUUUGUGUAAUAAUAGCAUGAAAAUUAACCAUUGAUUGGGAAACAGAUCGUCAGUUCUGAAAAGCACUUCCCCAAGUGCUUGCAUAAAAUGUCAAAUAAAGGGGACGA